rnacentral:rRNA from 1 species
UACGUAGGGGGCAAGCGUUGUCCGGAUUUAUUGGGCGUAAAGAGCGUGUAGGCGGCUUGGUAGGUCCGCUGUGAAAACUCGAGGCUCAACCUCGAGAUGUCGGCGGAAACCACUUGGCUAGAGUCCGGAAGAGGAGAGUGGAAUUCCCGGUGUAGCGGUGAAAUGCGCAGAUAUCGGGAAGAACACCUAUGGCGAAGGCAGCUCUCUGGGACGGUACUGGACGCUGAGACG